rnacentral:rRNA from 1 species
CUACGGGUUGCUGCAGUGGGGAAUCUUGGACAAUGGGGGCAACCCUGAUCCAGCCAUGCCGCGUGAGUGAAGAAGGCCCUAGGGUCGUAAAGCUCUUUCGCCUGUGAAGAUAAUGACGGUAGCAGGUAAAGAAACCCCGGCUAACUCCGUGCCAGCAGCCGCGGUAAUACGGAGGGGGUUAGCGUUGUUCGGAAUUACUGGGCGUAAAGCGCGCGUAGGCGGAUUGGAAAGUUGGGGGUGAAAUCCCAGGGCUCAACCCUGGAACUGCAUCCAAAACUCCCAGUCUUGAGUUCGAGAGAGGUGAGUGGAAUUCCGAGUGUAGAGGUGAAAUUCGUAGAUAUUCGGAGGAACACCAGUGGCGAAGGCGGCUCACUGGCUCGAUACUGACGCUGAGGUGCGAAAGUGUGGGGAGCAAACAGGAUUAGAUACCCGCGUAGUC